GAGCACGUAGGUGGGUUUGUAAGUCAGAUGUGAAAGCCUUCUGUUCAACGGAAGAAUUGCAUCUGAAACUGCUAAUCUUGAGUAUAGGAGGGGAGAAUGGAACUUCUGGUGGAGCGGUGAAAUGCGUAGAUAUCAGAAGGAACGCCGGCGGCGAAAGCGACUCUCUGGCCUAUUACUGACACUGAGUGUGCGAAAGCUAGGGGAGCAAACGGGAUUAGAUACCCCGGUAGUCCUAGCCGUAAACGAUGGGCACUAAGUAGAGGGGUUUU
rnacentral:rRNA from 1 species